rnacentral:rRNA from 1 species
UGCGUAGGGUGCGAGCGUUAAUCGGAAUUACUGGGCGUAAAGCGUGCGCAGGCGGUUUUGUAAGCCAGAUGUGAAAUCCCCGGGCUUAACCUGGGAACUGCAUUUGUGACUGCAUCGCUGGAGUGCGGCAGAGGGGGAUGGAAUUCCGCGUGUAGCAGUGAAAUGCGUAGAUAUGCGGAGGAACACCGAUGGCGAAGGCAAUCCCCUGGGCCUGCACUGACGCUCAUGCACGAAAGCGUGGGGAGCAAACAGG